GGUCAUGCAAGAAAACAGAAGACUGCAAGAGUGGAAAAGGGAGCAUUACUCAACCGCAUCCAGUCCUCCAAGCAACAGGGGGCGCAACAGUGCUGCACAAACUGGACGAACUGCAAAGUUGGUGGCACUGCCUCCUCUCUGGGCCCUGCAGGCUGUUGCCUGUGGGGAGAAAUAUCCAGCCCAAACUGAAAUCCAG